rnacentral:rRNA from 1 species
AGCAGCCGCCGCGGGAAUACGGAGGGUGCAAGCGUUAAUCGGAAUUACUGGGCGUAAAGCGCACGCAGGCGGUCUGUCAAGUCAGAUGUGAAAUCCCCGGGCUUAACCUGGGAACUGCAUUUGAAACUGGCAGGCUAGAGUCUUGUAGAGGGGGGUAGAAUUCCAGGUGUAGCGGUGAAAUGCGUAGAGAUCUGGAGGAAUACCGGUGGCGAAGGCGGCCCCCUGGACAAAGACUGACGCUCAGGUGCGAAAGCGUGGGGAGCAAACAGGAUUAGAUACCCGAGUAGUCCCUGUCUCUUAUAC